rnacentral:rRNA from 1 species
GACGAACCGAGCGAACGUUGUUCGGAAUCACUGGGCUUAAAGGGCGCGUAGGCGGGCUGUCAAGUCUGGGGUGAAAUCCCGCGGCUCAACCGUGGAACUGCCUCAGAUACUGACGGUCUCGAGGGAGGUAGGGGCGAGCGGAACUGAUGGUGGAGCGGUGAAAUGCGUUGAUAUCAUCAGGAACUCCGGUGGCGAAGGCGGCUCGCUGGGACGUUACUGACGCUGAGACGCGAAAGCGUGGGGAGCAAACAGG